rnacentral:rRNA from 1 species
AGAGUUGAUCCUGGCUCAGGAUGAACGCUGGCGGCGUGCUUAACACAUGCAAGUCGAACGGAGUUUUAAACGGAAGUCCUCGGAUGGAAGUUUAGAAACUUAGUGGCGGACGGGUGAGUAACGCGUGGGUAACCUGCCUCAUACAGGGGGAUAACAGUCGGAAACGAUUGCUAAAACCGCAUAACAUAGCGAAACCGCAUGAUUUUGCUAUCAAAUAUUUAUAGGUAUGAGAUGGGCCCGCGUCUGAUUAGCUAGUUGGUGGGGUAAUGGCCUACCAAGGCGACGAUCAGUAGCCGGCUUGAGAGAGUGACCGGCCACAUUGGGACUGAGACACGGCCCAAACUCCUACGGGAGGCAGCAGUGGGGAAUAUUGGACAAUGGGGGAAACCCUGAUCCAGCGACGCCCGCGUGAGUGAAGAAGUAUUUCGGUAUGUAGAGCUCUAUCAGCAGGGAAGAUAAUGACAGUACCUGACUAAGAAGCCCCGGCUAACUACGUGCCAGCAGCCGC